rnacentral:lncRNA from 1 species
ACCAUCCAUAAUGAGAUCUGAUGCCCUCUUCUGGGAUAUCCGAAGACAGCUACAGGAUCCUCAUAAAACAAAUUUCCUAAACCUGCAGUGGACACAGAGGGGUCCAGGUCCAAGCCCUUGGAGGCAGCGGGCCUCCUCCACCAUGAUAAGGAAGGAGACUAAGAGGAUUUGCAUAGCAUGCACAAGGCUGUGGGCUCCACCCUCAGCACCAUAGAGACAAGCAAGUCCAUUGUGUGCUAACUGAGGGUGACAGGAACGGACUGGAAUCAUGAGUUUCCAUUUACAGGAGAAGAGACAGCUCGUCCCAUGCAAGAGUCCCUUCACCUUUUAACGUUUUGGUACCUUCUGGAAUGUAACCUGGAGGGUCCUGAGAGUGAUGUCUGCAUUCAGUGUUGUCUCCUUUGUCUAUGCGCCAUGUGAGAAGGGGACAGAGGAAACAGAAGAGAAAUAGAGAUCUUAAUAACACACUUCACAUUUCUAGAAAGCAAAGGUUUGGUUUUGCUUUGGAGACAAGCCUUGCUGUAGAGCGCAGACUGGCCUCAAACCAGAGAUCCUCUUCGGGAUCCGC